GAUUGCGUAGCUCAGUUGGUAGAGCAGCUGGCUUUUAACCAGCGGGUCCCGGGUUCGAGUCCCGGCGCAAUCA
rnacentral:tRNA from 1 species